GGAGCACGCCGCGUGAGUGAUGAAGGCUUUCGGGUCGUAAAACUCUGUUGUUAGCGCAAGAACAAGUACGAGAGUAACUGCUCGUACCUUGACGGUACCUAACCAGAAAGCCACGGCUAACUACGUGCCAGCAGCCGCGGUAAUACGUAGGUGGCAAGCGUUAUCCGGAAUUAUUGGGCGUAAAGCGCGCGCAGGCGGUUUCUUAAGUCUGAUGUGAAAGCCCACGGCUCAACCGUGGAGGGUCAUUGGAAACUGGGGAACUUGAGUGCAGAAGAGAAAAGCGGAAUUCCACGUGUAGCGGUGAAAUGCGUAGAGAUGUGGAGGAACACCAGUGGCGAAGGCGGCUUUUUGGUCUGUAACUGACGCUGAGGCGCGAAAGCGUGGGGAGCAAACAGGAUUAGAUACCCCGGUAGAA
rnacentral:rRNA from 1 species